rnacentral:lncRNA from 1 species
CGCCGCCUCCGCCCCGCCCCUUCCCGCCGGAGCGGGCGGGAGCGGGGCCUCUCCGCGGGCUGCGGCCUUCUCCCGAGGAUGACCUUUCUGGCUGUACCAGUCUGACAACUUUUACCUGUAGGAAGGUUUUUGUAUGUGGCACUUCAGGUCAGGAAGCCGGACAACAUUGA